UACGUAGGGUGCGAGCGUUACUCGGAAUUACUGGGCGUAAAGCGUGCGUAGGCGGUUUGUUAAGACAGAUGUGAAAUCCCCGGGCUUAACCUGGGAACUGCAUUUGUGACUGGCAAGCUAGAGUAUGGCAGAGGGGGGUAGAAUUCCACGUGUAGCAGUGAAAUGCGUAGAGAUGUGGAGGAAUACCGAUGGCGAAGGCAGCCCCCUGGGCCAAUACUGACGCUCAUGCACGAAAGCGUGGGGAGCAAACAGG
rnacentral:rRNA from 1 species